UGCAGGUCCCAGCCGGUCACUUACCACGGUCCUCUGUCACCUCCUCCACUGUGUCUCAGCUCCGGCACGCGUGUCCCCGUCUCCUAGGGUGCGCCCCUGCCAGAGCUCUAAAAUUUAUAGGGCCAGUACGCCCAUAAUUAUGUGUAACACCUGACACUACUCUAUAAGUCCCUGCACCUCCCACACUUCCCUGCCGGAUCUUCAGUGCCCCUAGCCUGAGAUUAAGUGUUCCUAUUGUCUGUUGCUUUGCCCGUGUAUUUGACCCUUCCGCUACGUUAUUUGACUACGCACUUUUGCAGCUGACCUUCUGCUAAGUCUGACUACGCCUAUGCCUCAUCCUUCUGUACCUCGUCUUGCCCAGUUACCUGUGUGGUCGAAUCGUAUCGGGGGUAGCGACCUGGGUGUCGCCUACUGCAGCAAGCCCAUCCUGCCGGCACAUUAGACUCCGCUCCCCGAUACGGCCCGUGUCAUCUGCCACACAGUUUGGAGGAUCCACAUCUAGCAGCACUACAACCACUACCAUCUCCCCGGUCCACAUUUAUGCAGAUGGUGGAUGCUGGAGAUCACUCGGCAUAGGAUAAGCAACAUUGGCACUUAGGAGACCCCUAUCCACAACUUACAUGGAUGGAACAUCCCCUCGCUUAUGUCUAAGCUUUUUCUGAUGACGACGCACACGGAUAAAUGCACACAUCGUAUAGCAUCUGUUUAAACUAACAAAGGCCAUUCUACUGGGAUUGAUCAUAUACCAACUAGUUCAAUGGUGGCAUCUUAUACGUACUAACUGGACUACCACAACAUUACCUAAGU